AUUGAACGCUGGCGGCAUGCUUUACACAUGCAAGUCGAACGGUAGACCCUUUCGGGGGUUGAGAGUGGCGAACGGGUGAGUAAUGCAUCGGAACGUGCCCAGUCGUGGGGGAUAACGCAGCGAAAGUUGUGCUAAUACCGCAUACGACCUGAGGGUGAAAGCGGGGGACCGGUAACGGCCUCGCGCGAUUGGAGCGGCCGAUGUCUGAUUAGCUAGUUGGUGGGGUAAAGGCUCACCAAGGCGACGAUCAGUAGCGGGUCUGAGAGGAUGAUCCGCCACACUGGGACUGAGACACGGCCCAGACUCCUACGGGAGGCAGCAGUGGGGAAUUUUGGACAAUGGGCGCAAGCCUGAUCCAGCCAUGCCGCGUGCGGGAAGAAGGCCUCGGUUGUAACCGCUUCGGACUAGAAGAAAUACGCACGGUAAGUAACCCUCGUGUGGAGUGACGGUACCGGAACGUAAGAAGACACCGGCGUAACUACGU
rnacentral:rRNA from 1 species